rnacentral:lncRNA from 1 species
ACUUCCUGCGCCCUGGUCGCCUACGAGCCACUCUGGACAUCCCCCUCCUCUCUGCCCGGAGCCAGCGUGGCGCCUGCCUUCUACCUUGUCCCGCCGCCUGGGGUCGCAGCCCUGUGGGAACAGGACAGUUGGAACGCCGUAGGCACUGCCCCCACCUUCCCGGGGGCCUUCCUCCCGGCCCGGGCGCGCAUCCACGCCCCACCCGGAGUCUGCAACUUGGCUCCUGGGAGUUACCUGCCGGGGGAAGUCACAGUCCGCAGUUUGGACUCUAACCGGAAUUGGAUGAAGUAAUUGAUCACUAAUGAACUACCGUGCUGGUGAGAUGGGCAAGGUGAGACUGAAGUUAAAAACUAUGCCCUGUUUUCCCUCUUUAUUGUCACCAACUCAAGGGUAAGACAGCCGCUACUUUCCAAGCAGAUCAGUCAGCCAAUUGGGAUACAGGCAGGGAUAGAGUUAGCAAAGUUGUACCGUCCUUUUUAGUGGCUCCAAUUUAUUCACACAUAGUAGAGCUUGUCUAGAGCCAAAUGUUAUUUGUGGCUAUCCUUGAUCAGUGUCUUCUCCAGGAGUAAUUAUAGUUUGCCUCUUCAAAUUUCCUUGUGUAACUUUAAUUGGAUGGUCUGGUUUUUAUCUGUUUUGAUGUCCACACUGAGUAUAAGCACUUGAGUAGAUAAAGUUCACACACCCACAGUUUGUGGGACUUUUGGGAAGAAAGACUGUUUCCAUUGGAAAUAAUAAUUUUCAGCAAGCAAAUCACUUCUGUUAUUAUUUUUGAAUUUAGUUUUUUUGUUUUGUGGUGCUGGUAUAUACGAGACCUGUGUGUUUACACGUAGUAGACAAGUGCAGAAUGAUUGAGCUACAUCCCCAGCCCCUUUUAUUUUCUGAAAAACUGAAUAGUAAAUGUCAGAUAGAACUUUGAAACAGAAAUGAUAGUGUUAAAUUCUGUGUUGCUUAUUGGGGAUGUGACUACUCUGUCAUCAUUUCUGGUUCUAUAUGGUGUGUAAGUUCAAAUUAUUGUUUAUCCCAUGGACUUUUUUUUUUCUGGACCGGUCUUUACUACUGACCUUGAUCCCAAGUGCUGGGAUGCUACCAUGCCUGGCUUACUGACGUGGAUUUAAAGGACUUAUAUGUUAGUGAACAGUUUGUACCGUGUACCAGGGAGAAGAAAUAAGCUUGCUGUUUAUAGUUUUCAACCAGUUUCUCAAAUUAAGAUACCUCUGGUUGCUUUAGAACAGUAGUUCUCAACCUGUGGGUCCAGAUCCCUGUGGGGGUCCAGAUCCCUGUGGGGGUCCAG